CAGCAGCCGCGGUAAUACGUAGGUGGCAAGCGUUGUCCGGAAUUAUUGGGCGUAAAGGGCUCGCAGGCGGUUUCUUAAGUCUGAUGUGAAAGCCCCCGGCUCAACCGGGGAGGGUCAUUGGAAACUGGGAAACUUGAGUGCAGAAGAGGAGAGUGGAAUUCCACGUGUAGCGGUGAAAUGCGUAAAGAUGUGGAGGAACACCAGUGGCGAAGGCGACUCUCUGGUCUGUAACUGACGCUGAGGAGCGAAAGCGUGGGGAGCGAACAGGAUUAGAUACCCGAGUAGUCCCUGUCUCUUAUAC
rnacentral:rRNA from 1 species